UAGUGACGAAAAAUAACGAUACGGGACUCAUCCGAGGCCCCGUAAUCGGAAUGAGUACAAUUUAAAACUUUUCCCGAAAAUCAAUUGGAGGGUAAGUCUGGUGCCAGCAGCCGCGGUAAUUCCAGCUCCAAUAGCGUAUAUUAAAGUUGUUGCGGUUAAAAAGCUCGUAGUCGAAUCUGUGUCCCGCGCCGCUGGUUCAUCGCUCGCGGUGUUCAACUGGCGUGUCUCGCGGGACGUCCUGCCGGUGGGCGCUCGUAUCGUUUCGGCGGUGCGUGGCCCAACUCGUAGCCGUCUCGCGCGGUUGCGAAUCCCAUCGCGGUGCUCUUUAUUGAGUGUCGAGGUGGGCCGGCACGUUUACUUUGAACAAAUUAGAGUGCUUAAAGCAGGCCAAAUUUGCCUGAAUAUUGUGUGCAUGGAAUAAUGGAAUAGGACCUCGGUUCUAUUUUGUUGGUUUUCUGAACCCCGAGGUAAUGAUUAAUAGGAACGGAUGGGGGCAUUCGUAUUGCGACGUUAGAGGUGAAAUUCUUGGAUCGUCGCAAGACGGACAGAAGCGAAAGCAUUUGCCAAAAACGUUUUCAUUGAUCAAGAACGAAAGUUAGAGGUUCGAAGGCGAUCAGAUACCGCCCUAGUUCUAACCAUAAACGAUGCCAGCUAGCGAUCCGCCGACGUUCCUCCGAUGACUCGGCGGGCAGCUUCCGGGAAACCAAAGCUUUUGGGUUCCGGGGGAAGUAUGGUUGCAAAGCUGAAACUUAAAGGAAUUGACGGAAGGGCACCACCAGGAGUGGAGCCUGCGGCUUAAUUUGACUCAACACGGGACACCUCACCAGGCCCGGACACCGGAAGGAUUGACAGAUUGAGAGCUCUUUCUUGAUUCGGUGG
rnacentral:rRNA from 1 species